rnacentral:rRNA from 1 species
UACGGAGGGGGCAAGCGUUGUUCGGAAUUACUGGGCGUAAAGGGCUCGUAGGCGGCCAACUAAGUCAGACGUGAAAUCCCUCGGCUUAACCGGGGAACUGCGUCUGAUACUGGAUGGCUUGAAUCCGGGAGAGGGAUGCGGAAUUCCAGGUGUAGCGGUGAAAUGCGUAGAUAUCUGGAGGAACACCGGUGGCGAAGGCGGCACCCUGGGCCGGAAUUGACGCUGAGGAGCGAAAGCCAGGGGAGCAAACGGG